AUUUCUCUAAUUUCCCUUUCUCAUAGAUUUCUCCUUUUCCUUCUACUUCAAAUACCACCCUACCAAACAAACCCUAUCACCUUAAUUUUCCCCUCUUUCUCCUUCUCAACCUUAAUUCCCUACUAUUUCUCAUAUUCCAACCCUUUUUUUCCCCUCUCCCUCUUUCUUACUAUCAUAUACUAUACUCCAAAUUUUAUCACAUCACUUCAUGUAUAGAUGUUUAGUUUAUGCGAAACAAUCCAAACAACAAUUGUUUCGUUGCGCAUAUAUACUUGUAUAUGCCGGUUUAGAGAUAUUUAGCGAUGAAAAAUUACAUAUUUGUAGGAUGUCAAUAUUCAUUUACGCCUAUGCCUGGCUCCCUGUAUGCCAUACACAGAGUCCAUCGGAUUAUCGAUGGCCUCCAUGGAUGGCGUAAGAGGAGCCAAGCAUACUCCUUUUAAUUUUACAUUCCAUUUUAAUUAAUUGACUUGCUCAUUUUUAUUCGUUUAUUAUUCUAAUUAUUUUUGAUAUAAUCUUGAUUUUAUUACAACUAGUAUAUAUAUUUUUUUAUAUGAUUUGAUUUCCUAACUAUUCUUCUGGGAAAUUAACUCUAUUUUUUGGUCCGUCAACAGGUUGGAAAAGAUUUUGUUGAAUGAUGAGCUGCCAAAACUUGCUUAAUUCAAAAUUAUAAAAGUAUAGAUAUACGAAGUGGUAUAGAUUUAUGGAGCAUAUAAUCUUCGUGCGGCAAGAGACAACAUAGAAGUUACAACACACUUUACAGACUAACGCAGAGCAUGCUUUGUCUCUCAUCAGCUUGGGAAUCUAAUAUGGUGUACAUGUACAUACAUUCAUUAUUUGUAUAUUUCAUCUCUUUUGUGUCUUUGGCGCCGUGCGCGGCAUUUUAGGACACCCAUGUGAUAAAGAGAGUGAUAGAGAGACAAAUUAGAAAAAGUGGUCACACCAUGAAUCAAGAUUACAACUCUUGUAUUUCAAAACAACUAAAAUGCUUACUAGAAAGAAAAAUAUUGUAACUAAAAAGUCGAAAUAAAUGUUUUUCUCGAGGCAAUUAUUAGACAUGUGUUGAUCCUCCAGGAA